rnacentral:rRNA from 1 species
GAGUUUGAUCAUGGUUCAGGACGAACGCUGGCGGCGUGCCUAACACAUGCAAGUCGAGCGGAGAUUGCAGUAAUGUGAUCUUAGCGGCGGACGGGUGAGUAACGCGUGGGCAACCUGCCUCACACUGGGGGAUAACACUGGGAAACUAGUGCUAAUACCGCAUAACAUCAUGAAAGGACAUCCUUUUAUGAUCAAAGGAGCAAUCCGGUGAGAGAUGGGCCCGCGUCCGAUUAGCUAGUUGGUGAUGUAACGGACCACCAAGGCGACGAUCGGUAGCCGAACUGAGAGGUUGAUCGGCCUCAUUGGGACUGAGAUACGGCCCAGACUCCUACGGGAGGCAGCAGUGGGGAAUAUUGCGCAAUGGGGGAAACCCUGACGCAGCAACGCCGCGUGAAGGAUGAAGGUUUUCGGAUCGUAAACUUCUUUGAUGGGGGACGAAAAAAAUGA